rnacentral:rRNA from 1 species
UACGGAGGAUGCAAGCGUUAUCCGGAAUUACUGGGCGUAAAGGGCUCGUAGGCGGCCAGCUAAGUCAGACGUGAAAUCCCUCGGCUUAACCGGGGAACUGCGUCUGAUACUGGAUGGCUUGAGUUUGGGAGAGGGAUGCGGAAUUCCAGGUGUAGCGGUGAAAUGCGUAGAUAUCUGGAGGAACACCGGUGGCGAAGGCGGGACUCUGGGCCGAUACUGACGCUGAGGAGCGAAAGCGUGGGGAGCGAACAGG